rnacentral:rRNA from 1 species
GAUGAACGCUGGCGGCGUGCUUAACACAUGCAAGUCGAACGAAGCACCUUGAUUUGAUUCUUCGGAUGAAGAUCUUGGUGACUGAGUGGCGGACGGGUGAGUAACGCGUAAAGAACUUGCCCUGCAGUCUGAGACAACAUUUGGAAACGAAUGCUAAUACCGGAUAAUAAAGCAGAUCGCAUGAUCAGCUUUUGAAAGGCGGCGUAAGCUGUCGCUAAGGGGAUGGCCCCGCGGUGCAUUAGCUAGUUGGUAAGGUAACGGCUUACCAAGGCGACGAUGCAUAGCCGAGUUGAGAGACUGAUCGGCCACAUUGGGACUGAGACACGGCCCAA